CCCUCUCAACCCUGUGGUGCGUGUCCUUUGGAGAAAUGCAGCCUUGUCGCCAGGGUUACGGGGAGGGGUUCAGCUCUGUCCCGGGGCGCAAGUCCCGCGCGCUCAGGCUCCGCGCAAUGGCACGCGGUAAAAGGAACGUGGGCUCGUGGCAGCAGCUGCACCUUCACGCGCUGUGCGCAAAGCGCUGAGAGGCGUCUAGAGGAAGCCGGCCUACCCGCCAGGGACUCGCCCCUUACACGCUCGUGCGCAGCCCUGCCUAGGCCAGGCGUCACCUCUGCUCCGAGGCGUGCAGCCGGCGGGUCUGAACUGGGUCCGCAGUAGUUGCGCGGCAUGUGGCAGCUCCGAGUCACACGCUGGAUCUUUUAAUAGCUCUGUACGCGGCUUGUAGGCCUGGCAGCAUUUGAUUUUUUUAUAAUUGUGACAAAUAAGUGAUUAUUUUUAAGCAUUUUUCUAAAAAAUUUUAUCCAUUUUCACAGUUGCAGGAAAUUAUGGUGCAUAGGUGCUUGGAACUAGGGGUGCUGCUACACCCCAUGUCUUGAAGUCGUUUCUAUCAUGUACAGGGUUAAUAGUUUGAGUAAAUGGCUCUCAGUACCACCACUGUACAAAUUGUUCCAGUGCCUUUGUAAUGGGGUGGUUCCACACAAUCAUUGUUUAAUGACAGGACUUAUUGAGAUUCAAAAAAUUAAAACUUUAUAACCAUUAAAACAUAUAUUUUGACAUGACAUUGACAAUAUACAAAGUAAAUAUCAUUAAAUCAAACUCUUAAUAACUUCUCAAUUUGUUUUUUUUCUUACUUAGAUAACCAACAUUUAUGAAUCAGCAAUGGAAAUAGUCUGUUUCAUUUGUGUGUAUGGUGAAAAUGAUAUGUAUUGAGAUUUACCAAUAAAAGCAAAUCCCCCAAGU